rnacentral:rRNA from 1 species
GACGAACGCUGGCGGCGUGCUUAACACAUGCAAGUCGAGCGGUAAGGCCCUUUCGGGGGUACGACGAGCGGCGAACGGGUGAGUAACACGUGGGUGACCUCGCCCUCAGCUCUGGGAUAAGCCCGGGAAACUGGGUCUAAUACUGGAUAUUACUCUGCGGUGCAUGCCGUGGGGUGGAAAGCCUUGUGCGGCUGGGGAUGGGCCCGCGGCCUAUCAGCUUGUUGGUGGGGUGAUGGCCACCAAGGCGACGACGGGUAGCCGGCCUGAGAGGGCG